GAUGAAGAACGUAGCGAAAUGCGAUACUUGGUGUGAAUUGCAGAAUCCCGUGAACCAUCGAGUCUUUGAACGCAAGUUGCGCCCGAAGCCAUUAGGCCGAGGGCACGCCUGCCUGGGCGUCACACGUCGUUGCCCCCCCAUCUACUCCUUCGGGAUUGCGGGGGGCGGAUGAUGGCCUCCCGUGCGCCUCGUCGCGCGGUUGGCAUAAAUACCAAGUCCUCGGCGACGCACGCCACGACAAUCGGUGGUUGCGAAACCUCGGUUGCCCGUCGUGUGCGGUCGUCGCGCAUCGAGGGCUCGAAAAAAUUGCCGGGCUCCGGCUCGGCUUUCAACGCGACCCCAGGUCAGGCGGGGUUACCCGCUGAGUUUAAGCAUAUCAAAAGCGGAGGA
rnacentral:misc_RNA from 1 species